UACGUAGGGGGCAAGCGUUGUCCGGAAUCAUUGGGCGUAAAGAGCGUGUAGGCGGCCAGCUAAGUCCGCUGUGAAAUCUCGAGGCUCAACUUCGAGCUGUCGGUGGAAACUGUCUGGCUAGAGUCCGGAAGAGGAGAAUGGAAUUCCUGGUGUAGCGGUGAAAUGCGCAGAUAUCAGGAGGAACACCGAUUGCGAAGGCAGCUCGCUGGGACGUAACUGACGCUGAGACGCGAAAGCGCGGGGAGCAAACAGG
rnacentral:rRNA from 1 species